AAUCAACGCUGGCGGCGUGCCUAACACAUGCAAGUCGAACGCGAAAGCCCUUUCGGGGGUAAGUAGAGUGGCGUCCGGGUGAGUAACACGUAGGUAAUCUACCUUCGGGUGGGGAAUAACUCGCCGAAAGGCGAGCUAAUACCGCAUAAUGCAGCGGCACCUAAUGGUGAUUAGUUGUUAAAGCGGGGGAUCAUAAGACCUCGCGCCUGAAGAGGAGCCUGCGGCAGAUUAGCAGUUGGUGAGGUAAUGGCUCACCAAGGCUUCGAUCUGUAGCUGGUCUGAGAGGACGGCCAGCCACGCUGGCACUGACACAC
rnacentral:rRNA from 1 species